rnacentral:rRNA from 1 species
AGCAUGUGCGCGAGUCAUUGGGACAAACCUAAAGGCGAAAUGAAAGUGAAGGUCGGGUUCGGAUCGAGGGAAGAUGGCCGAUCCCCCGCGCCCGCACUCCCGGGGCGUCUCGAUCUCAACGCGAGAUGAGGCGCACCCAGAGCGUACACGCUGGGACCCGAAAGAUGGUGAACUAUGCCUGGUCAGGACGAAGUCAGGGGAAACCCUGAUGGAGGUCCGUAGCGAUUCUGACGUGCAAAUCGAUCGUCUGAACUGGGUAUAGGGGCGAAAGACUAAUCGAACUAUCUAGUAGCUGGUUCCAUCCGAAGUUUCCCUCAGGAUAGCUGGCUCUCGUCAUGUGCGAGUCUCAUUCGGUAAAGCGAAUGAUUAGAGGCAUUGGGGUCGAAACGACCUCAACCUAUUCUCAAACUUUAAAUGGGUGAGAUCUCCGGCUUGCUUAAAAUUUGAAGCCGAGAGUAUUAGGAUCAGAGUGCCAAGUGGGCCACUUUUG